GCGCGCGAGCGCGGGCCGGCGCGCGCGUCUCCUCCCCCGCCCCCACCUGGCUGAGACGGCGGCACAAUGGCGGCGCCCGUGGCCCCUCCACGUCCCGUCACCCACCUGCUCUUUGACAUGGACGGCCUCCUGCUGGAUACCGAGCGGCUCUAUUCCGUGGUGUUUGAGGACAUCUGUGGUCGCUACGGGAAGAAAUACAGCUGGGAUGUCAAGUCCCUCGUCAUGGGCAAGAAGGCCUUGGAGGCGGCCCAGAUCAUCAUUGACGUCCUGCAGCUGCCCAUGUCCAAGGAGGAGCUGGUGGAAACCAGCCAGGCGAAGCUCAAGGAGGUCUUCCCCACGGCCGGGCUCCUGCCAGGUGUGGAGAAGCUCAUCCGCCACCUGCGGGCGCACCGCGUGCCCUGCGCCGUGGCCACCAGCUCGGGGUCCGAGUCCUUCCAGAUGAAGACCAGCAGGCACGGGGACUUCUUCAGCCUGUUCCACCACGUCGUCCUGGGGGACGACCCCGAAGUCAGGAGCGGGAAGCCAGAGCCAGACAUCUUCCUGGCUUGUGCCAGGAGGUUCUCUCCCGUUCCUCCCGCGGAGAAGGAAGAACUUGACUCAGUGUUACCCACUGAAGAUGGAAUUCAGCUUGAAGAGCCUCCUGGGCUCCAUCAGAGAGAUCACUGAAAAACCAGAGGGCUUCUAGGCGGUAGCAUUUCCUGACAUAUGCAGUGCACCCUGCAGAACUGGACUUGAAAAGCAAAGAAGGCAGACAGUUGCCUCUGUCACUGGAAUGUUCUUGAACCCACAUCCAUGGGAUUUUUCCCUAAUGCUGUCCAUGCUUUGAAGUAGUGUUUAAUCGCCCCCUACUCCGUGAGGAUGCAUCAGGGAAGUACCGUUUCAUGGUAACCUGGGACCCAGCUGCAGGUAUCCAGGGUCCGGGCCAGUCCAGGAGGUCCCCAGGCCUUGGAACCCUGGAGUUUCCCAGAAGUUCUUGGCUGUCUUCCUGCUGAAUCCACAGUCCCCUUCUUGCAAAACGACAGAGCACAGGUUCAGAUUCUCCGUAGGGACCCUGUGCCUUUCCCACUGGGCUGACUCUCUUCGCCAUGGCGGAGCUUUAUAAGACCUGGCAAGAUAAGGGCUCCCGCAAUCUAGCCUCAGCUGGCAGAGAGCCUCCCAGCUCUUGGUUCUGCAGGUUACUGACCGGGGAGCCCCAUCACAGGGACCCCAAGCAGAUGUCCUAGCUUGGGUGCUGCUGAGACCUUGUAAACAGGUGUACCUGCCUUGCCUGAAUGACCCAGGCAUUUGAAGUCACCGACUCAGACCACAACGGAAGCGAAGAAGAGUUUAUCUCAUGAGUGCAGUAAAUGCAGUCCAAUGUCUUGAACGAAAGCCAUCGAUCAUUCUUUAAAGUAGAGGAGAUGUCUGUCAGCAGAGAAACAGUCUCUCUUAUGAGGCGCAAAUUCCACGAAUGUGUGUACUGUUGAUUCUCCGUCAAAGAUGCCACGUUCCUAUCUGCGGGACGUCGAUGCGUCCAGCCAAGCCCUCGCCUCUGAGAUAAUUGCACGUGACACUUGGGCAUCUACAUCCGGAAGGCUUGGUGCCCAAGUUUCUGCUCCCCCUAAGGUGAGGAGGGCAGCCUGCAGCCCCCACAAUGAGAUCUGCUUCUUUCUGCCCGUUCAUGGAGUGACUCGGAGGCCAGAGAGCUGAUUUGCAGAAGGACCACUUGGUAGAGAGCCUCUGGGCUGAUAGCUGCGCAGACGCCAUUGGAUCACCUUCUCCAUCGCUAGUUAGCCAUGCGGCAACGUGUGCUCAUCCAGCCAGGACAUGCCCGACACUCAGACGCCAGCCAGCAUCAGAGCUGUCCCUCACCCUCAAGAGCCCUCACGUCACGUCCACUAUUUUCCUGCAGAAAGACGGUUCGGCAUCCCGGCUCUCACUUGCGGGACUCUCAGACGUGGCUUCUCCCAGGACGUCACCUACUGCUCUCAGAAAAAUGUGGGUGGCUGUUGGAAGGAGCGCUGCAAAGGAGGUGGAGUGAGGGUGGGGGCUGUGGCUGGAUAUCCUCAAGAAGGCUGGACAGGCAUGGACUGUGCAGACCCCAAGGCAGUGGACGAAGCCGGCUGGCAUCCAGGAACCCCACGCGAGGCUCCCGCAGCAGAGAGGCUCUUCACGUUUCUCAAGACACGUUGGCGGAUUCUCGAAUGGAUGUUGGAGCAGCCAUCACGUCAUUGCCAAGCUCCGUCUCACUGAGAGGCCCACACAGAAACCAGGUAAAGUGCGAAAAUUGACCAUGACAUG